UACGUAGGGGGCUAGCGUUGUCCGGAAUCAUUGGGCGUAAAGCGCGUGUAGGCGGUCCGGUAAGUCCGCUGUGAAAGUCGGGGGGCUCAACCCUCGAAAGCCGGUGGAUACUGUCGGGCUCGAGUACGGGAAGAGGCGAGUGGAAUUCCUGGUGUAGCGGUGAAAUGGCGCAGAUAUCAGGAGGAACACCAAUUGCGAAGGCAGCUCGCUGGGACGUUACUGACGCUGAGACGCGAAAGCGUGGGGAGCAACAGG
rnacentral:rRNA from 1 species